rfam:Dipodomys ordii contig_19600, whole genome shotgun sequence.
GGGAAGGUGGCUCAGUGGUAGAGCGUUUGCCUUGCAAUGCAUGAGGCCUGGGUUCGAUUCCUCAGCCCCCCUU